AGUGAACGCUGGCGGUAGGCCUAACACAUGCAAGUCGAACGGCAGCACAGUAAGAGCUUGCCCUUACGGGUGGCGAGUGGCGGACGGGUGAGGAAUACAUCGGAAUCUACUUUUUCGUGGGGGAUAACGUAGGGAAACUUACGCUAAUACCGCAUACGACCUACGGGUGAAAGCAGGGGAUCUUCGGACCUUGCGCGAUUGAAUGAGCCGAUGUCAGAUUAGCUAGUUGGCGGGGUAAAGGCCCACCAAGGCGACGAUCCGUAGCUGGUCUGAGAGGAUGAUCAGCCACACUGGAACUGAGACACGGUCCAGACUCCUACGGGAGGCAGCAGUGGGGAAUAUUGGACAAUGGGCGCAAGCCUGAUCCAGCCAUACCGCGUGGGUGAAGAAGGCCUUCGGGUUGUAAAGCCCUUUUGUUGGGAAAGAAAAGCAGCAGGUUAAUACCCCGCUGUUCUGACGGUACCCAAAGAAUAAGCACCGGCUAACUUCGUG
rnacentral:rRNA from 1 species